rnacentral:rRNA from 1 species
GAUGAACGCUGGCGGCGUGCCUAAUACAUGCAAGUCGAGCGAACGGACGAGAAGCUUGCUUCUCUGAUGUUAGCGGCGGACGGGUGAGUAACACGUGGAUAACCUACCUAUAAGACUGGGAUAACUUCGGGAAACCGGAGCUAAUACCGGAUAAUAUUUUGAACCGCAUGGUUCAAAAGUGAAAGACGGUCCUGCUGUCACUUAUAGAUGGAUCCGCGCUGCAUUAGCUAGUUGGUAAGGUAACGGCUUACCAAGGCAACGAUGCAUAGCCGACCUGAGAGGGUGAUCGGCCACACUGGAACUGAGACACGGUCCAGACUCCUACGGGAGGCAGCAGUAGGGAAUCUUCCGCAAUGGGCGAAAGCCUGACGGAGCAACGCCGCGUGAGUGAUGAAGGUCUUCGGAUCGUAAAACUCUGUUAUUAGGGAAGAACAUAUGUGUAAGUAACUGUGCACAUCUUGACGGGACCUAAUCAGAAAGCCACGGCUAACUACG